rnacentral:rRNA from 1 species
UACGGAGGGUGCAAGCGUUGUCCGGAUUUAUUGGGUUUAAAGGGUGCGUAGGCGGUACGCUAAGUCAGUGGUGAAAUCCCGCAGCUCAACUGCGGAACUGCCAUUGAUACUGGCGUACUUGAGUACAGACGAGGUAGGCGGAAUUUAUGGUGUAGCGGUGAAAUGCAUAGAUACCAUAAAGAACACCGAUAGCGAAGGCAGCUUACUAGACUGUAACUGACGCUGAGGCACGAAAGCGUGGGGAGCGAACAGG